rnacentral:rRNA from 1 species
AUACGGAAGGUCCGGGCGUUAUCCGGAUUUAUUGGGUUUAAGGGGAGCGCAGGCGGAGAUGCAAGCGUGACGUCAAAUUUCGGGGCUCAACCCCGUCUCGCGUCGCGAACUGCGUCCCUUGGUUGCGGGAAGGGGAGGCGGAACUCGGGGUGUAGCGGUGCAAUGCAUAGAUAUCACGAAGAACUCCGAUCGCGAAGGCAGCCUUCCGGCCCGUCAACGACGCUCAUGCUCGAAGGUGCGGGUAUCAAACAGGAUUAGAUACCCUGGUAGUCCGCACAGUAAACGAUGGACACCCGCGGUUUGGCCUGUAUGGCUGAGCCGCCAAGCGAAAGCGUUAAGUGUCCCACCUGGGGAGUACGCCGGCAACGGUGAAACUCAAAUGAAUUGGCGGGG